UAUUGCACAAUGGGGGGAACCCUGAUGCAGCGACGCCGCGUGAGUGAAGAAGUAUUUCGGUAUGUAAAGCACUAUCAGCAGAGAAGAAAAUGACGGUACCUGAAUAAGAAUCCCAGGCUAACUACGUGCCAGCAGCCGCGGUAAUACGUAGGGGGCAAGCGUUAUCCGGAUUUACUGGGUGUAAAGGGAGCGUAGACGGUUAUGCAAGUCUGGAGUGAAAGCCCGGGGCUCAACCCCGAGACUGCUUUGGAAACUGUAAAACUGGAGUGCAGGAGAGGCAGGCGGAAUUCCUAGUGUAGCGGUGAAAUGCGUAGAUAUUAGGAGGAACACCAGUGGCGAAGGCGGCUUGCUGGACGAUGACUGACGUUGAGGCUCGAAAGCGUGGGGAGCAAA
rnacentral:rRNA from 1 species